AUUGAACGCUGGCGGCAGGCCUAACACAUGCAAGUCGAGCGCGCGGCGGACGGGUGAGUGUUGUAUGGGGGCUGCCCGAUAGAGGGGGGUACCUACUGGAAACGGUGGCGAAUACCGCAUACUGUAGGAGAACCCAUAGGGGAUUAGCUAGUAGGUAAGGUAAUGGCUUACCUAGGCGACGAUCCCUAGCUGGUCUGAGAGGAUGAUCAGCCACACGGGGACUGCGCCACGGCCCAGACUCCUACGGAGGCAGCAGUGGGGAAUAUUGCACAAUGGGCGCAAGCCUGAUGCAGCCAUGCCGCGUGUAUGAAGAAGGCCCUAGGGUUGUAAAGCACUUUCAGUCGGGAGGCGUUACCGACAGAAGAAGCACCGGCUAACUCCGUGCCAGCAGCCGCGGUAAUAC
rnacentral:rRNA from 1 species